rnacentral:rRNA from 1 species
CCUACGGGUGGCAGCAGUGAGGAAUAUUGGUCAAUGGGCGGGAGCCUGAACCAGCCAAGUCGCGUGAGGGAAGACGGUCCUACGGAUUGUAAACCUCUUUUGCCGGGGAGCAACGGGGUCCUUGCGAGGGCCCGAUGAGAGUACCCGGAGAAAAAGCAUCGGCAAACUCCGUGCCAGCAGCAGCGGUAAUACGGGGAAUGCGAGCGUUAUCGGGAGUUAUUGGGGUUAAAGGGGGCGUAGGCGGGCUGUUAAGUCAGCGGUCAAAUGUCGGGGCCCAACCCCGGCCUGCCGUUGAAACUGGCGGCCUUGAGUGGGCGAGAGGAAUGCGGAAUGCGUGGUGUAGCGGUGAAAUGCAUAGAGAUCACGAAGAACUCCGAUUGCGAAGGCAGCAUACCGGCGCCCUACUGACGCUGAGGCACGAAAGCGUGGGGAUCGAACAGGAUUAGAUACCCGAGUAGUC